AACGAACGCUGGCGGCAUGCCUAACACAUGCAAGUCGAACGAGACCUUCGGGUCUAGUGGCGCACGGGUGCGUAACGCGUGGGAACCUGCCCUUAGGUUCGGAAUAACUCCCCGAAAGGGGUGCUAAUACCGGAUAAUGUCUUCGGACCAAAGAUUUAUCGCCUUUGGAUGGGCCCGCGUUGGAUUAGCUAGUUGGUAGGGUAAAAGCCUACCAAGGCGACGAUCCAUAGCUGGUCUGAGAGGAUGAUCAGCCACACUGGGACUGAGACACGGCCCAGACUCCUACGGGAGGCGGCAGGGGGGAAAAUUGGACAAGGGGCGAAAGCCUAACCCAGCAAUGCCGGGGGAGUGAUGAAGGCUUUAGGUUUGUAAAGCUCUUUUCCCCGGGAUGAAAAUGACAGUACCGGGAGAAAAAGCCCCGGCCAACCCCGU
rnacentral:rRNA from 1 species